rnacentral:lncRNA from 1 species
UCGAAGGACUCGCGGCCUUUCCCGCGCUGGCCCUGCCCCUGGGCGCCCCAGCGCCUGCCAAGUGGAGGUCCUGGCCCUGGGGCCGACUCUCUAGAAGCGGCCAGUGGGUUCGGCGAACCGCGCCCCGCACAGCAGCAGAGUCCCCGCUACGGGGUCGGCAUUUUCUCAUCCUCUUGCUCAGGCGGGCAUGAUUAGGGGGCUGGGAAGGACUCACAGAAGGCGACGCAGCAAGAAGUGACAGAGACCCAGACCCUCCGGAGCCCCAGCUGCUCACCUGACCCUGCACCGCCCCCCAGGAAGAAUCAAACGUCUCUAGGCAGAAAGGGCGGCCGUAUCCAGAAGAGAGAACAGCCAUGCAGUGAUGUGCUUAGGGAAAUCUGGCGCAACAAUGUCAAGGCGAGCACUCACCUUGUGCCCAGCCCUGUAAUAAAA